GACGAAGGGGGCUAGCGUUGUUCGGAAUUACCGGCGGAAGCGACGUGUAGGCGGUUAUCCAAGUCAGGUGUGAAAGCCUUGAGCUCAACUCAAGAAAUGCACUUGGUACUGGGUGACUAGAGGACCGGAGAGGAUAGUGGAAUUCCCAGUGUAGUGGUGAAAUACGUAGAGAUUGGGAAGAACACCAGUGGCGAAGGCGGCUAUCUGGACGGUUUCUGACGCUAAGACGCGAAAGCGUUGGGGAGCAAACAGG
rnacentral:rRNA from 1 species